AAAGGGUUUCUGCGCCGAAGAUGUAACGGGGCUCAAGCCACGAGCCGAAGCUUAGGGUGUGAUCCACAAGGGUCACGCGGUAGCGGAGCGUUCUGUAAGCCUGCGAAGGGCGACUCGUGAGAGCGCCUGGAGGUAUCAGAAGUGCGAACGCUGGCAUGAGUAACGACAAACACUGUGAAAGACAGUGUCGCCGAAAGUCCAAGGGUUCCUGCGUAAAGUUAAUCUUCGCAGGGUUAGCCGGUCCCUAAGGCGAGGCAGAAAUGCGUAGUCGAUGGGAAUGCAGUAAAUAUUCUGCAGCCAGUGGAUAGUGACGAAUCUUGUAUGUUGUCUGACCUUAUUGGAUUGGUCGGGCCUCGAAGAGGUUCCAGGAAAUAGCUUCCACAUUAGACCGUAUCCGAAACCGACACAGGUGGACUGGUAGAGUAUACCAAGGCGCUUUAGAGAACUAUGUUGAAGGAACUCGGCUAUUUACCUCCGUAACUUCGGGAUAAGGGGGCCCUCACUAUACGCAAGUGUAGUGGGGGGGCACAGACCAGGGGGUGGCAACUGUUUAACAAAAACACAGGGCUCUGCGAAAUCGCAAGAUGACGUAUAGGGUCUGACGCCUGCCCGGUGCCGGAAGGUUAAGAGGAGGAGUGCAAGCUCUGAAUUGAAGCCCCGGUAAACGGCGGCCGUAACAAUAACGGUCCUAAGGUAGCGAAAUUCCUUGUCGGGUAAGUUCCGACCUGCACGAGGGCGUAAUGACCUCCCCGCUGUCUCCAACAUAGACUCAGUGAAAUUGAAUUCCCCGUGAAGAUGCGGGGUUCCUGCGGUCAGACGGAAAGACCCCGUGCACCUUUACUGUAGCUUUGCGCUGGUAUUCGUGACUGUUUGUGUAGAAUAGGUGGUAGACUUUGAAGCUGCGGCGCCAGCCGUGGUGGAGUCGAAAUGUGAAAUACCACCCUAAUGGUUAUGGAUAUCUAACCGCGUCCCCUUAUCGGGGACCGGGACAGCGCAUGGUGGGCAGUUUGACUGGGGCGGUCGCCUCCCAAAGAGUAACGGAGGCGUGCGAUGGUAGGCUCAGAACGGUCGGAAAUCGUUCGUCGAGUAUAAUGGCAUAAGCCUGCCUGACUGCGAGACUAACAAGUCGAGCAGAGACGAAAGUCGGUCAUAGUGAUCCGGUGGUCCCGCGUGGAUGGGCCAUCGCUCAACGGAUAAAAGGUACGCCGGGGAUAACAGGCUGAUGACGCCCAAGAGUCCAUGUCGACGGCGUCGUUUGGCACCUCGAUGUCGGCUCAUCACAUCCUGGGGCCGGAGAAGGUCCCAAGGGUUCGGCUGUUCGCCGAUUAAAGUGGUACGUGAGCUGGGUUCAGAACGUCGUGAGACAGUUCGGUCCCUAUCUGCCGUGGGUGUUGGAAUUUUGAGAGGAUUUGUCCCUAGUACGAGAGGACCGGGAUGAACGUACCUCUGGUGGAGCAGUUGUCGCGCCAGCGGCAGUGCUGCAUAGCUAUGUACGGACGGGAUAACCGCUGAAAGCAUCUAAGCGGGAAACCCACCUCAAAACGAGAAUUCCCUUGAGAACCGUGGUAGACGACCACGUUGAUAGGCCGGGUGUGUAAGUGCGGCAACGCAUGUAGCUUACCGGUACUAAUCGUUC
rnacentral:rRNA from 1 species